rnacentral:misc_RNA from 1 species
CAUUUUUUUUCUUUGUUACUUUCGCAUCGUUCGGUGCAUUUUGAGGGCUGUUUUGGCUUUUGGUGGCUUGCUUGGCUUUUUGGUCGGGUGGGUCGCUACUAGUCGGGCGGCUUUCGGGAAUGUCGACCGGGAAGGUGCAUGAGUGGUGUUUGGUUUGUUACGGGUGGUUGGCUGUUUGCUUGCGCAACAACGUCCACGCGGCAUACCUUUUCAGUUUUGUAGCAAGACUUGGUUUGUCUUGAGCAUAUUGUGGGUUUCCUGUGUUGCAUACCUAACCGAUGGUAACGUGCGGGUUUCAUGAUGUCUUUUUUCGUCAUGCGUCGCUCAUGCGGCGUGGGAUGAACAUGGAAGCGGCCUUUGUGAUCCACCUUGUUGUUGCAUUUGCAACGAUGAUGUGGCCUAUGAAGAAUUGCUUGGUCUCUUGUAUACGGUACCUAAUGUGGGCAUGGGUCAUAUAAGAUCCUCAAUCUGCCCUGUUAAGCGUUCUCGCUUCUCCAAAACGAUUGUCUGCCAUGUCUUGGCUUGUCCUUGCAUGGUGGGCUACGUCGA